UUACAGUUAGAGAGACGAACCCGUUUUUCUAUGGAGCGAGAUAAGCACGAUGAGGAAUGCAACAUGUUGUUUAAAAGUACAUAGAGGGCUUAAACCGACAUAUUGAUGUAUUACAGGAGGAUAAGACAGCAGCUGCUAGCUCUUUGCAAGCUACCGCUACAAUUCAUUUAAUGCUAAACACUUUAAUUGAUGAGUAGGAGUUUCUAUUUCAAAGCCUGCCAGAAAAUCUUCACUCGUUAGGAGAAUUAAAACAUGUUCAGAGUUGAUUCAACAGGUGUCUGAGGGGAAAUAUUCAAGGUUUACUUCCACAUACGUUUGAAACGCUGCAGUAGUUUUGUGUUUUACCACGGUGUUUUGGUUCAGUUUAUGCGGAUGCCUCUAAUGAGUGUAAAAGCAUAGCCACCAUCUGUUUCAAAUGUGCAAGACUUCUCAUCCGCUGGAAGUCUCCAUGGCUCCCUAGUUAAAACAUCACAGGGUAACUGUUAAGGAUGUCACAUUUGUUCUGGGGAAAUGUUUGUGAUUUUCAUCCAGUGCCAAAGCUUUUAGAGACCACCACUGCAUCAUGGGUAACAAGCAGGACCAAGAGUGCAGACAUGAAUGAUUGUCAAUCAUAUAGAAGCACACUGAAGAAGAGAUCAGAGUAUCAUAGAGACCUGAGGGGACUUGCUGUUUUGACUUGAACUACUCCCACAACAUCCUAUCAUGGUAAUAUUU